UGGGGAAUAUUGCGCAAUGGGGGAAACCCUGACGCAGCGACGCCGCGUGCGGGAUGAAGGCCUUCGGGUUGUAAACCGCUUUUGAUUGGGAGCAAGCUUUCGGGUGAGUGUACCUUUCGAAUAAGCGCCGGCUAACUACGUGCCAGCAGCCGCGGUAAUACGUAGGUCCCGAGCGUUGUCCGGAUUUAUUGGGCGUAAAGCGAGCGCAGGCGGUUAGAAAAGUCUGAAGUGAAAGGCAGUGGCUCAACCAUUGUAGGCUUUGGAAACUGUUUAACUUGAGUGCAGAAGGGGAGAGUGGAAUUCCAUGUGUAGCGGUGAAAUGCGUAGAUAUAUGGAGGAACACCGGUGGCGAAAGCGGCUCUCUGGUCUGUAACUGAUGCUGAGGCUCGAAAGCGUGGGGAGCGAACAGG
rnacentral:rRNA from 1 species